UACGGAGGGGGCUAGCGUUGUUCGGAAUUACUGGGGGUAAAGGGCGCGCAGGCGGCUGCUCAAGUCAGGCGUGAAAGGCCUGGGCUCAACCCGGGAAUUGCGCUUGAGACUGGGCUGGCUUGAGUGCGGGAGAGGAUGGUGGAAUUCCCAGUGUAGAGGUGAAAUUCGUAGAUAUUGGGAAGAACACCGGUGGCGAAGGCGGCCAUCUGGACCGCAACUGACGCUGAGGCGCGAAAGCGUGGGGAGCAAACAGG
rnacentral:rRNA from 1 species